rnacentral:snRNA from 1 species
AGCUUUGCCCAGUAGCAGUAUCAUAGCCAAUGAGGUUUAUCUGAGGUGUUAUUAUUCCUAAUUGAGAAAUUCAAGUAUAAUU